rnacentral:ncRNA from 1 species
CUCUUCAGGGCGGGGUGAAAGUCCCCACCGGCGGUGACAGUCCGCGAGCCGAAAGGCAUGAACCGGUGCAAUUCCGGUACCGACGGUAUAGUCCGGAUGAAAGAAGAUG